GCGGGGAGGAAGGGAACAUCACAGGGCUGCCAUUUUGCACAACUCCAGGGUCACGCCCCCCACAGAGAAGAGAGGCCAGCGCCGGGCCGGUUCUAAAGGCCCGUUGAAAGGAGAUUACGCAGGACCCUCCAGGCAGGUUGGCGGGGGAAGGAGCUGGGAGAGACGAUGGCUGACACAGAGCCCAUCCUCUGGGGAGUGGAAGCUAUCCCAAGAUCUGGGGGGCCUGAGGAUCGGCGAUGGAGGCAAAACCCCAGGAGGCUUGAUCCUGGGUAGGGAGCGGCCGGUCUGAACCGAGACACCUGCACCAAAGCUUGGCACAGGGUCUUGCCAGCCUUGCGGGGGGGGGGGGGGGUUCCACAGGCUUGAACAUUAGUGUAACCAGUGUAGACCAAAGGCCAGAAGGCCCCCCUCAACCAAAAAUCCCGCAACCUUUGUACCAGACUGAAAAGAGGAAACCGAGUUAUGACCCAGCAUGAAACGCCGUCCUCUGAACACAGACAAGUCUUGGGUCAGGAAUAAUUGGAAAAUUUCAGAAAAAUAAAGUGUUGUUCCCUAGCAUCCAUCUGUGGUGGAAAUUCAUACCUGCCCCAACCUGCAAGGAAAGGGAGGUGUUAUUUUAGGUGGAUGGCCAGAUCCUUCUGCAAUGAGUUGGCAAAACUCAAGGAGAGGGACACAAUCUUCGACAAGACCACCCUGAUCUCACACCGGCUGCAAGUUUGGGGGUCCCCAGGCCACCCUCACUUUUGCCCUUUUUAUAUUUCAGGAGCUAACAGGGAAAUGGAAAAAAAAAAUGAAAAGACCAAGGCUGAUCAAAAGUGUAGUUCUGGAAACAAGGGAAGCAAAGUUAAAGCUAUAAAGGAUGAUUUUUAGCCUGGAUUAAAAUUCUCCAGGGCGCCUGGGUGGCUCAGUCAAGUUAAGCGUCUGGCUCUUGAUUUCAGCUCAGGUCAUGAUCUCGGGUCAUGAUCUCUUGAUUGUGAGAUCAAGCCCAAGUCUGGCUCCGUGUGGAGCGUGGAACCUGCUUGGGAUUAUAAAUAAAUUAAACAAACAAACAAACAAACAAACAAACCUUAAAUCAAAUCAAAUCAAAUCAAUUCUCCAUCUUCUCCCCAGAAAACUUAUCCAUCCACAGCCUUCCCCAGGGCACCUAAGGACAACUCCAUGGCAUCAUUAGGACCUCAGGUUCUCGCCAUGUUCCUUCUCAGCCGUCCAUAGCACGAGACUCCCUGAUUGGCGAUUCCCCUCAUGGUCACAAAGUGGCUGCCACCACUCACUGAGGCAUGUUGGCCUAGUGGGGGAAGAAGCAGAGGGAAGAGCUGUUUACACCUUUUUGGUUCGGCCAGCUCUGAAUCAAUUGAGGGCGAAAGGAGAAAGAAUUACCACAAUUGACUUAGGCCAGUGGUUCCCAGAGUGCAGGUAAGGACCAGCGGCAUUCGCCUCACCUGAGAACCUGUUAGAAAUGCAAAUCUUCCAGCCAACCCCGGGAGCCGGCGUUUCCUAAGCCCUGCAGGGGAUUCUGAAGCAGGCUCAAACUGGAGAACCACUGCCUUAAGGAAAGGUCUUCGCCACCAUACUCAAGGUCCAGGCGUGUGGGUGGCUUCGGAGGAAGGUAUUUACCCAUGACAAAUGAAAACACCUGCCCACAUGUAAACGUGUGCCACAAAUGUUCGUAGUAGCCAAAGAUGAGAGGCGGACCAAGAGACCACCAACCAGUGGACAGAUAAAGUGUGUUCUCUCCAUGCAAUCGAGUAUGACUCGCGAACGACUCGUUCAGGCACAACUACGUGAAUGAAUCUCAAAGUUAUUAUGCUGAGCGAGAGAAGUCAGGCAACACCGAGCACAUACUGAACAAUUUCGUUUAUAUAUUUGUUUACUCCCGUGGGGAUUUUAUUUUUUAAGCAAUCUCUACACCCAGUGUGGGACUUGAACUCACGACCCCGAGAUCAAGAGUCUCACACUCCACUGACUGAGUCAGCCAGACGCUCCAAGGUAGGUUUCAUUCUGAGGGCCCUUUUCCAGACUUGCAGGUGGCUACUUCCUCACCAUGUGUUCACCUGUCCUUUUUGCGGGAGAGAAGGAGCUCUCUAGUGUCUCUUAGAAGGACACUAAUCCCAUUGGAUCAGAGCCCCAUCCUCAUGACCUCAUUUGACCUUAAUUACUUCUGUAAAGGCCUUAUCUUCAAACACCAUUCACUGCGGAUUAGGGCUUCAACUUGGGAAUCUGCGAAUUUAAGUGAGGGGAGGCAAACAUUCAGUCGUUAGCAGGCAUCAUCUCCGUUUUACAGGUGAGGAAGAUAAAGGACUGGGUCCUUACAGUGGUAAAUAAAUGAACGCUAAUCCCACCCCCUUGAGCUUACAGCCUGGUGGGAGAGACCAGGGUUAGAGACCAGUAGCUCGUCACCAUGGAGAAAAAGCAGAGGGAGUCCAUGAGGGUAGGGGCCGUGGAACCGCGUCUGGAAUGGGGAGUCAGAGAGAGAGAUUUUCCUGAGGAAGUGCUGGGUGGGCCUCUCCAUAGCGUGGAAAGGCUGUGUGGAACAAGGCACAUUCUAGAAAUUCAGGAAGUGCGGACAGGAUGAAGAAAGCCACGAAGGGCGAGGAGGCUGGAGAAGUGAGCUGGGGCCAGACCCCACGAGCAGGGAGAGGGUUUAGAUUGGCCCUUAAAGCAAUGGGGAGCCACUGAAGGCUUUAAGAAGAGGAGAAACAUCAUGGUAUUUACAGUUUUGUUUUGUUUUUAAUGAGGGUAAGCGUUAUUUAUUGAUUGAUUGAUUUUUCAUGUUUAUUUUUUAUUUAAAAAAAUUUUUUAAUGUUUAUUUAUUUUUGAGAC